rnacentral:tRNA from 1 species
UUAAAAAUAAGCUAAAUAAAUUAAGCUUAUGAACUCAUACUUCAUCCAUAAAGAUAAAACUUUUUUUUAAA